UACGAAGGGGGCUAGCGUUGUUUCGGAUUUACUGGGCGUAAAGCGCACGUAGGCGGAUCGUUAAGUCGGGGGUGAAAUCCUGGAGCUCAACUCCAGAACUGCCUUCGAUACUGGCGAUCUUGAGUCCGGAAGAGGUGAGUGGAACUCCUAGUGUAGAGGUGGAAUUCGUAGAUAUUAGGAAGAACACCAGUGGCGAAGGCGGCUCACUGGUCCGGUACUGACGCUGAGGUGCGAAAGCGUGGGGAGCAAACAGG
rnacentral:rRNA from 1 species